UCAAUCAUAACAUUUUACAAUCACAAAAAGGAUUGUGAAAGGUUUUAAGUUAAUCACCUUUUAAAUAAAGGGUGGCUUAGAAUAAAUUUAUCUAUCGAGUGGAUUUUAAAAAUCAAUUCCAUUGCGCAUGCGUCAAAUGAACUUGACUUUCAUAAACAGUGGUUUUAAUUUGCCGCAUGCGCAAUGGAAUUGACAAUUCUUGGGAGCGUCUAAACGUAUGCUUGAAAAGUGCUAAAAAUAAAUGUGAAAACAGUAACGUUGCAUAUAAAUUUAAGAUAAUUGGCCUGUUCCACAACUGCAAGAAUGUCAAACUUUUUACUACGAUAACCUACUAUGGAGGGUAUAUUAACUUUGUCAUUCCGUUUGUAACUCCUCGAAAUACUCAUAAAAGACUACCAACAGGACAUGAUAUGAGGCCCCUUCUAUAAGUUGUGUUCCAGAACCUACAAAUUAGUACUAAUUAGUGCUAAUUCUGCUACAACGCGUUCCCGUACUUCAGAAACUAGCAAAACUUGCAGCUCUCUCGAGCUGGUGCUGAGUGGUGCACAUUUCUGCUUGUUUUAGCUACAUGAUUUUGCCGACCAGAAAUGUGCAAAUUGUAAAUUUGACAUUUAAUUGGCAGGGCUAACAAGGUUGAAAAAUGUAUUGAUACAUUUCAAAGUUCGCGCGUGACAACAAAUAUAAACUUAAAAACUAAAGAAAAACUAAUAUUUGUCGUGCAAAAAACAAAAAGAGAAAAUAUGGAGCAACUGAUGUAUUCACUUUUGGAUGAAUCCAGGAGAGAAGAGGACUGGCUGAAUGAGGAAUCAGACGAAGAAAAUGUAUUGGAAAACAUUGCAAAAUGAGUGCAAGGUUGGCUGUCUUCCCAACUUGUGGCAUUAAAUCUUCUAGCAGACUUAACAUUAAUUUUACCGGCGCCUCCAACCAUGUCAGCUUCUCCGGGGUUGGGAUUUGCGAAAACUCCACCUCUAAAUAUUCUUAAACGCAUUCUGAAAACAAAACUUUCUAAAUAAACAGCAUUCAAAAAUAAUUAUUAAUUUUAACUUAUUUUCAAUACUCAUUUUUUUAAAUUUUGGCGUCCAUUUCAGUAAGGUUUCACCAGUCCGAUUUAGGCUGUUUUCUUUUGGAAUUUUGAAUGUUGACAUUAUA